AAGGUUUUUGUGACUGAGUGGCGGACGGGUGAGUAACGCGUGGGUAACCUGCCUCAUACAGGGGGAUAACAGUUAGAAAUGACUGCUAAUACCGCAUAAGACCACAGAGCCGCAUGGCUCGGUGGGAAAAACUCCGGUGGUAUGAGAUGGACCCGCGUCUGAUUAGGUAGUUGGUGGGGUAACGGCCUACCAAGCCAACGAUCAGUAGCCGACCUGAGAGGGUGACCGGCCACAUUGGGACUGAGACACGGCCCAAACUCCUACGGGAGGCAGCAGUGGGGAAUAUUGCACAAUGGGGGAAACCCUGAUGCAGCGACGCCGCGUGAGCGAAGAAGUAUUUCGGUAUGUAAAGCUCUAUCAGCAGGGAAGAAAAUGACGGUACCUGACUAAGAAGCACCGGCUAAAUACGUGCCAGCAGCCGCGGUAAUACGUAUGGUGCAAGCGUUAUCCGGAUUUACUGGGUGUAAAGGGAGCGUAGACGGCUGUGUAAGUCUGAAGUGAAAGCCCGGGGCUCAACCCCGGGACUGCUUUGGAAACUAUGCAGCUAGAGUGUCGGAGAGGUAAGUGGAAUUCCCAGUGUAGCGGUGAAAUGCGUAGAUAUUGGGAGGAACACCAGUGGCGAAGGCGGCUUACUGGACGAUGACUGACGUUGAGGCUCGAAAGCGUGGGGAGCAAACAGGAUUAGAUACCCUGGUAGUCCACGCCGU
rnacentral:rRNA from 1 species